rnacentral:tRNA from 2 species
GCACUGCUAGGUUAAUUGGUAGACUACCUUACUUCGGAUAAGAUGAUGGAGGUUCGAGUCCUUCGCGGUGUA